AAAGCUUUCUAAAUACAUGUUUAGCUGAAAUCAAUUAAGAAAUGGAGAGGAAAUAUUUUGGAUUUUUCUUUGUGGUUCUCUUGAUUUUUGCCUCACAAAUGGGAAUAAUGAUGCCACAAGUAGAAGCAAGAGUUUGUAUGUCACCUAGCCAUAGCUAUCAUGGUCCAUGUUGGCAUGAUCACAAUUGUGCUAUUGUUUGUAGAAAUGAAGGCUUCUCUGGUGGUAAUUGUGUUGGUAUCCAACUCAAGUGCUAUUGCACUAAGCUAUGUUAGUUUUUUUAUUUUUAUUUGCGAUGUCAGGUUGUUGAUCCUGCUCUGAAGUCUGACUAAUUUCGAAUUCAUGCAAAGAAGCUAUGUUGACUUUUGUUUUCUUUUCCUUUUGAAAGGCUUAAUGUAAUGCAUGCAUCUAUGUUUCUAUUUUUGUUUAGUAACACCGUCAAACAUCUCUAUAAUAACAUUACGUUAUAAUGA